UAAACGGGGAGCUUACCAUGCAGUCGAACGGCAGCACGGACUUCGGUCUGGUGGCGAGUGGCGAACGGGUGAGUAAUGUAUCGGAACGUGCCCAGUAGCGGGGGAUAACUACGCGAAAGCGUAGCUAAUACCGCAUACGCCCUACGGGGGAAAGCAGGGGAUCGCAAGACCUUGCACUAUUGGAGCGGCCGAUAUCGGAUUAGCUAGUUGGUGGGGUAACGGCUCACCAAGGCGACGAUCCGUAGCUGGUUUGAGAGGACGACCAGCCACACUGGGACUGAGACACGGCCCAGACUCCUACGGGAGGCAGCAGUGGGGAAUUUUGGACAAUGGGGGAAACCCUGAUCCAGCCAUCCCGCGUGUGCGAUGAAGGCCUUCGGGUUGUAAAGCACUUUUGGCAGGAAAGAAACGUCGCGGGUUAAUACCCCGCGAAACUGACGGUACCUGCAGAAUAAGCACCGGCUAACUACGUGCCAGCAGCGGUGGGUAAUAA
rnacentral:rRNA from 1 species